GACGAACGCUGGCGGCGUGCUUAACACAUGCAAGUCGAACGGAAAGGCCCUGCUUUUGUGGGUUGCUCGAGUGGCGAACGGGUGAGUAACACGUGAGUAUCCUGCCCUUGUCUUUGGGAUAACUUCAGGAAACUGGGGCUAAUACCGGAUAGGAUCUCCUGCUGCAUGGUGGUGGUUGGAAAGUUUCGGCGGUUGGGGCUGGACUCGCGGCUUCUCCGCUUGUUGGUGGGGUAGGUGCUUACCAAGGGUUUGACGGGUAGGCGGCCUGAGAGGGUGACCGGCGACAUUGGGACUAAGAGACGGCCCAGAAGCCUAUGGGAGGCAGCAGGGGGGAAUAUGGCACAACGGGCGGAAGCCUGAUGCAGCAACGCCGCGUGCGGGAUGACGGCCUUCGGGUGGUGAACCGCUGUCGCCUGUGAUGAAGCGUGAGUGACGGCAAUGGGUAAAGAAGCACCGGCUAACUACGUG
rnacentral:rRNA from 1 species